UACGAAGGGGGCUAUCGUUGCUCGGAAUCACUGGGCGUAAAGGGCGCGUAGGCGGGUCUUUAAGUCAGGGGGGAAAUCCUGGAGCUCAACUCCAGAACUGCCUUUGAUACUGAGGAUCUUGAGUUCGGGAGAGGUGAGUGGAACUGCGAGUGUAGAGGUGAAAUUCGUAGAUAUUCGCAAGAACACCAGUGGCGAAGGCGGCUCACUGGCCCGAUACUGACGCUGAGGCACGAAAGCGUGGGGAGCAAACAGG
rnacentral:rRNA from 1 species